GAUACCGUUUGCCCUAAUACCUCUUCUUACUCUAGUAUCAAAGGAGCAUGUGAUGGGUGUUUUCAAAAUUGGCAAGAAGACCCAGUAACUGCAUCGCCAUGUGAAUGUCCCAUCCAGAGGAUGAACCCAUCAUCGUCCUCUUUGGAUUCACUGGCAGCAUCGUUAAGAGUUCCUCUCCGAUGGCGACCUCCCUUACCGCUCCAUCAAGAUGCCCGCCAGCUGCGGUCACCUGGUAAAAAUCUCACCUUGGAGGACUGGCAGUUCAUCGUCUAGGAGCUAAAGCUGGAGAGCUUCGAUAGCGUGGACAUUGCCUUGAGGAGCGGCGGUGGGUCCGUCUGCAGGGAGAUGGGUUCCAUCACGUCGUUGGUAACACCUCGGCGUUUCUGUUUAAUUUGGGGAAGGGGCUGCUGAUCGGAAACCCUAACUGCUCAAUGAUUAUUUGCUUCAUGGAGGCCACUCCUCUGCAUUGGCAGAUGAAGGUUGUAACAAUGGUUGCUAGCACUGCAGCAAUGGAAGAGCUUGAACUGUAGACUUGAGGGGUUCCGUUUAUAUGCCAUCUUUAUUCUUUACUAUCCAAACUGUAGUUCACCUUAUCAAAUUAAUAUUUUCCCUUCAAAUUAAUAUUUUCCCUUCAUUAGGUAUUGAAUGGCAAGGAACCCAGCUUGUAAAAAUCUAUAAACAAUGGGUACUAUCUUUGCGACUAUGUUCUUUAAGAAAAGUGUUGUGCAUAAAGUGAUCUUAUGUUGCUAAUAAUUGCAGUAUGCAGGUAAGUUAUUCUCUCAUAAUGCACCAGUUACGUCAAGUGGAGGAGGAAAUGAAAUUAGUGAGGGGACCAGAAAAUUUUGGGUAACUGCUUCUGGAUAUAGUUAUGAUUUCUGAUAAUUGUUUUUCUUGUUUUUAUUUUUUCUUAUCCACCUUCUCGUGCAGUCAUUCCGAUCUCUGUUUUUACCUUUGAUUUAAAAUGACAAUGACAUCAGAGUGACUGACUGACUGCUAAUUGCAUAAGGGUUCCUAUGAUGAAGGCACUAAUCUGCAAUUCGAGAAGCUACUUGAUGAGAUAAGGUUGAAAUGAAUGAAUUAUGUUAGUAAACUGACUCUGCUGGUUUCAGAUGAAAUGUCUAUACUGAUCAUUUCAUUCAGUUAUCUAUUCAUAAUGUGUUAAGAUUUUAGAAGUUCCACACUUAUUCUUAUAUCGUCAAAAUUUUCAGAACAUUAUGAGGUCAUACGUAAUUAUAUGUACUUCACACAUCUACAUAUGUUAUAUAUUAUUUCUAGAUAAAUAAAUUCACAAAAAGACUUAUAAUGUUCCUGCUUUGCCUAACUAACUUUUUUUUAUUGCAUGCAGUAGUGGAUAACUAAUUCUUUUGGCACAUCCUCUGCAUGUUUGAAUUGAAGAGGCCGAUUUUUCUUCGUGUGUCUUUUGUUAAGACGCCGUUUUUUCUUCCUGUUUCUUUUGUUGAGACAUAAGUUUUCCCCACACUUUAAUAGGCGAACCUUCAUUUACUAGUCUUUUUUAAAUCCUUUUUUAAGGAUUAGUAGGAUUGAAUCCCACUUCUUUUGUGUUUUGGCGACUCUAGUAGUCAACCCCUAAAGUGGAUCUCCAAUGGCAAUUAUAUGUUGGCUCCAUUGAAAUUUUAUUUAAUUCCAUUUUAGUUGGAUUAGUGAUUCCUUUUAAGGACUGGUUAUGAUUUACUGUGUGGAAAUUAGGCUUAGCAUUAUCCUGUAACACCAUGUUGGAUUUCAAUUAUAGUAGUAUAACUUGCAAGGAAAAUCCUUAAGGAAGCUGCUGGGGUCAUUUGAUGAUAGGGCAUCUAAUCUCUUCCCAAUGGCAUUGGAGGUCUCCAGCUUCCUUUGCAGGGAAACGAAGUUAGAAUAUUAUAGAGAGCUGCUUUUUGCAUCCAAAUUUCAUGUGACGAGGUGACACGUGCCAUUUUAUUGGGAUUCCAAUCAAGAUCAGUGACUGAUACAUCACCUGUCCCAUAAUUGUCCAUGAUUCUAGGUAUCAAACACAGAUGACGUUGCAGUGGGCCGGAUCCUUCAGGAUUUAUCCCAAUAGGACCCUUCAGGAUUUAUCCCAAUAGGACGACCAGGGGUUGGACAUAGGUCUGUGGAGAUCAUACAUGCAAAAGAGCAGCACCAAAUGGAGUACAGAUUGCAGAGAAAUUGCUGUAGUCUAUAAGGACAAUUCUGUAAGCUAUGAUACUGUUCUUUAUAGUGGCAUCUGAUAUUCUAUAGAGAAGGAUAAGAGGAUAUGGCUUUCGAUUAAAUUUGUUAUGUCUAUUUCUUGAGGCAAUUUUUAGUGUUGUCCUAUUGUUUCCGUCAAUUGCUAGGACUUGCCAAUUACACAUUAACGUAUGGUGGUUUUUGAUGUAUUGGUGAUUUGAGCAUCACCUAUUGGUUCUGUCAAUUGUUAGGAAUUUUGUGCUAAGUACAUAUUAAUGAAUAAGAUAUUUGUACCAAUUGCAUAUUAAUGUAUUUUCUGG